UUAAGCGACUAAGCGUACACGGUGGAUGCCCUGGCAGUCAGAGGCGAUGAAGGACGUGCUAAUCUGCGAUAAGCGCCGGUAAGGUGAUAUGAACCGUUAUAACCGGCGAUUUCCGAAUGGGGAAACCCAGUGUGAUUCGUCACACUAUCAUUAACUGAAUCCAUAGGUUAAUGAGGCGAACCGGGGGAACUGAAACAUCUAAGUACCCCGAGGAAAAGAAAUCAACCGAGAUUCCCCCAGUAGCGGCGAGCGAACGGGGAGGAGCCCAGAGCCUGAAUCAGCAUGUGUGUUAGUGGAAGCGUCUGGAAAGGCGCGCGAUACAGGGUGACAGCCCCGUACACAAAAGCGCAUGUGCUGUGAGCUCGAUGAGUAGGGCGGGACACGUGGUAUCCUGUCUGAAUAUGGGGGGACCAUCCUCCAAGGCUAAAUACUCCUGACUGACCGAUAGUGAACCAGUACCGUGAGGGAAAGGCGAAAAGAACCCCGGCGAGGGGAGUGAAAAAGAACCUGAAACCGUGUACGUACAAGCAGUGGGAGCACAGGUUUACCUGUGUGACUGCGUACCUUUUGUAUAAUGGGUCAGCGACUUAUAUUCUGUAGCAAGGUUAACCGAAUAGGGGAGCCGGAGGGAAACCGAGUCUUAAUUGGGCGUUAAGUUGCAGGGUAUAGACCCGAAACCCGGUGAUCUAGCCAUGGGCAGGUUGAAGGUUGGGUAACACUAACUGGAGGACCGAACCGACUAAUGUUGAAAAAUUAGCGGAUGACCUGUGGCUGGGGGUGAAAGGCCAAUCAAACCGGGAGAUAGCUGGUUCUCCCCGAAAGCUAUUUAGGUAGCGCCUCGUGAAUUCAUCUCCGGGGGUAGAGCACUGUUUCGGCUAGGGGGCCAUCCCGGCUUACCAACCCGAUGCAAACUGCGAAUACCGGAGAAUGUUAUCACGGGAGACACACGGCGGGUGCUAACGUCCGUCGUGAAGAGGGAAACAACCCAGACCGCCAGCUAAGGUCCCAAAGUCAUGGUUAAGUGGGAAACGAUGUGGGAAGGCCCAGACAGCCAGGAUGUUGGCUUAGAAGCAGCCAUCAUUUAAAGAAAGCGUAAUAGCUCACUGGUCGAGUCGGCCUGCGCGGAAGAUGUAACGGGGCUAAACCAUGCACCGAAGCUGCGGCAGCGAACGUAUCACUUAAAGCGAUUCAGCGGGUUACGAUUGACGGAGCGAAGCGACGUCAAAGCGUAUAUAAAGUCGAGUUGGCUUAGGGAUACGUUCGUUGGGUAGGGGAGCGUUCUGUAAGCCUGUGAAGGUGGCCUGUGAGGGUUGCUGGAGGUAUCAGAAGUGCGAAUGCUGACAUAAGUAACGAUAAAGCGGGUGAAAAGCCCGCUCGCCGGAAGACCAAGGGUUCCUGUCCAACGUUAAUCGGGGCAGGGUGAGUCGACCCCUAAGGCGAGGCCGAAAGGCGUAGUCGAUGGGAAACGGGUUAAUAUUCCCGUACUUGGUGUUACUGCGAAGGGGGGACGGAGAAGGCUAUGUUGGCCGGGCGACGGUUGUCCCGGUUUAAGCGUGUAGGUGUGUGUUCCAGGUAAAUCCGGUUCACUUUAACACUGAGGCGUGAUGACGAGGCACUACGGUGCUGAAGCAACAAAUGCCCUGCUUCCAGGAAAAGCCUCUAAGCAUCAGGUAACAUCAAAUCGUACCCCAAACCGACACAGGUGGUCAGGUAGAGAAUACCAAGGCGCUUGAGAGAACUCGGGUGAAGGAACUAGGCAAAAUGGUGCCGUAACUUCGGGAGAAGGCACGCUGACACGUAGGUGAAGUGAUUUACUCAUGGAGCUGAAGUCAGUCGAAGAUACCAGCUGGCUGCAACUGUUUAUUAAAAACACAGCACUGUGCAAACACGAAAGUGGACGUAUACGGUGUGACGCCUGCCCGGUGCCGGAAGGUUAAUUGAUGGGGUCAGCGCAAGCGAAGCUCCUGAUCGAAGCCCCGGUAAACGGCGGCCGUAACUAUAACGGUCCUAAGGUAGCGAAAUUCCUUGUCGGGUAAGUUCCGACCUGCACGAAUGGCGUAAUGAUGGCCAGGCUGUCUCCACCCGAGACUCAGUGAAAUUGAACUCGCUGUGAAGAUGCAGUGUACCCGCGGCAAGACGGAAAGACCCCGUGAACCUUUACUAUAGCUUGACACUGAACAUUGAGCCUUGAUGUGUAGGAUAGGUGGGAGGCUUUGAAGUGUGGACGCCAGUCUGCAUGGAGCCAACCUUGAAAUACCACCCUUUAAUGUUUGAUGUUCUAACGUGGACCCGUAAUCCGGGUUGCGGACAGUGUCUGGUGGGUAGUUUGACUGGGGCGGUCUCCUCCUAAAGAGUAACGGAGGAGCACGAAGGUUGGCUAAUCCUGGUCGGACAUCAGGAGGUUAGUGCAAUGGCAUAAGCCAGCUUGACUGCGAGCGUGACGGCGCGAGCAGGUGCGAAAGCAGGUCAUAGUGAUCCGGUGGUUCUGAAUGGAAGGGCCAUCGCUCAACGGAUAAAAGGUACUCCGGGGAUAACAGGCUGAUACCGCCCAAGAGUUCAUAUCGACGGCGGUGUUUGGCACCUCGAUGUCGGCUCAUCACAUCCUGGGGCUGAAGUAGGUCCCAAGGGUAUGGCUGUUCGCCAUUUAAAGUGGUACGCGAGCUGGGUUUAGAACGUCGUGAGACAGUUCGGUCCCUAUCUGCCGUGGGCGCUGGAGAACUGAGGGGGGCUGCUCCUAGUACGAGAGGACCGGAGUGGACGCAUCACUGGUGUUCGGGUUGUCAUGCCAAUGGCACUGCCCGGUAGCUAAAUGCGGAAGAGAUAAGUGCUGAAAGCAUCUAAGCACGAAACUUGCCCCGAGAUGAGUUCUCCCUGAGACUUAGAGUCUCCUGAAGGAACGUUGAAGACGACGACGUUGAUAGGCCGGGUGUGUAAGCGCAGCGAUGCGUUGAGCUAACCGGUACUAAUGAACCGUGAGGCUUAACCUU
rnacentral:rRNA from 1 species